AUAGAGAAAAUAAUCUAAUCCUGUUGCUUUCUCUACUAUACCAUGUAACUAAAAAAAAAAAUAACCUUUAUAUCUGUUUUUAAUUGUUUCCUGGUACUUGCCCAACCAGCAGUUUUAUCUGGUCAAGUGAAUGAUUAAUGGUCUGGGGUCCAAAGUCAUCUCAAUAUAUUGUCAAAAAAUGUAAGAAGCCCAGCUCACUGCAUUAGACCUGGGUAUGGAGUAUGAGUACCUAGUCGGCGUUGAAUAGAACUUGUGUUGGAAGAUGAACUAAAUACUGGGUAAAGGUGACUGAAGCUGACACUCAACCAACCCAAGAAAAGGGAUUGGUUGAGAUAGAUAACAGGACAUUGGAAAUCAGAAUCCACUAAAGAAUAUAUAUCAACACAUCUAUGGAAUCAACUAACCCUGAAAAUGAAUGGUUAUGUAUCAUAAGAUCCCAUUCACAGCUAUUGUUGUCAAUGAGAAAAAGCAGGAAUAGAAAUAUGGUUUUCCUCUGAGAAUAGAACCUGCUGGCAGGAGAAGGGGUGACUUAACUCCUCCAGGAUGAGGCUUUAGGAGUAAGAGGACUACCUGAUGUGGGCCUGGAAGCCUAGGGUUAGGUUGAGGAUGUAUAUCUUGGUGGUAGGAGCAAAUAUUCACAUGAAAACUUGGAAGGACAAAGUGGAGAAGGUUUCCAUAUGAACAGCAGAUGAACAUGGUUCAGUUGGCCCUGAGAGACAGCUGAGUGCUGGUCCAAAGGGAUGGGCAUGGCCUCCAUUGCCCUAAACCAAUAGAAAGGGAGUCUGGUUCAAACCUCCAAUUCAAAGUAGAGGCUCAGGGUCCAGUGCCAUAACACACCUCAUCCAGGGGAAUCUGGUGGGGGUCCCAGAAAGAGUUCUCUUUUCUUUGUGAAGAGCAGGGCUGACAUGGAAUGACUUCACAGUAUGGAGAACAUCAUGGUUCUGGUAGCAUAUGGAAAUCUUCUCCACUUUGUCCUUCCAAGUUUUCUUUUGUCCCUUGAAAAUCCAGGAGGGAGGGUGUAAAUCUUAUGAACUGUUAAGGCCUGGGAUUUCACCCACCACCAAGGAAGGCUGUGGAC
rnacentral:ncRNA from 1 species